rnacentral:sRNA from 2 species
GCUACAGGGUGUGCCAACAUGCUAUCACAGGUUCGAAUCAGACCAAGGCCAGAGGAAUAUCCCUUACUAAUGCACAUUCUCUUGCCAAGAUGGGGGAGAUUGGUGGUUAGGCACCCAGGAAGACCCCAGGCCACCAAGGACCAAUGGCAGUAGGGUAGUGGAACUUAGGAAGAGCCAGGUUCCCCCAGCUGGCCGGAUGGUAGAGUGGGUCCGAGGGGAGGUGUUGGGGGGAUUGGGUUGGGUGAUUCGUACCCUCUAUACCACCAUGGCGCUGGUGGUGAUUGAGCUCUUUUGCCCUAGUGGCCUAAUAUAUUGUUGGGCACUAGUUGCCCAGGUGGCCCUCCACCGCACGUGAUUACCCCUAUAUAGUUAGCUAGCGACCACAACAAUAACAAGAUCAACCAUCCCACACAUAUUGUAUUAGGCCACUAGGGCUUAUCUCAGCAAGCUCAGACGCUUCGCAGGAUAAUUGCUGUUUUAACACUGAUUUGAUGAUUAGUCACUUUUUAAAGAAGCUAAUCUAAAAUAAGUAAUCAACUAACCCAAAAUAGUCAUAUCACAUGAUGUGCAAUUAUCCUGCGAAGCGUCUGAAAAAACGGUUCCAGUUUGUUAGCAACACGGGAACGAUUUGCUCUAUACCUUGUGUAUGGGU